AGCGGACUGAUGGGAGNUUGCUCCCUGAUGUNAGCGGCGGACGGGUGAGUAACNCGUGGGCAACCUGNCUGUAAGACUGGGAUAACUCCGGGAAACCGGGGCUAAUACCGGAUAACCCGUUCCACCUCAUGGUGGAGCGGUAAAAGAUGGCCUCUGGCUAUCACUUACAGAUGGGCCCGCGGCGCAUUAGCUAGUUGGUAAGGUAACGGCUUACCAAGGCGACGAUGCGUAGCCGACCUGAGAGGGUGAUCGGCCACACUGGGACUGAGACACGGNCCAGACUCCUACGGGAGGCAGCAGUAGGGAAUCUUCCGCAAUGGACGAAAGUCUGACGGAGCAACGCCGCGUGAGUGAUGAAGGUUUUCGGAUCGUAAAGCUCUGUUGUUAGGGAAGAACAAGUGCCGNNUGANUAAGGCGGNACCUUGACGGNACCUAACCAGA
rnacentral:rRNA from 1 species